GACAGAGGGUGCAAACGUUGUUCGGAAUUACUGGGCGUAAAGCGCGUGUAGGCUGCUUCAUAAGUCGGAUGUGAAAGCCCUGGGCUCAACCUAGGAAGUGCACUCGAAACUGCGAAGCUUGAGUCCUGGAGAGGAAGGCGGAAUUCUCGGUGUAGAGGUGAAAUUCGUAGAUAUCGAGAGGAACACCGGUGGCGAAGGCGGCCUUCUGGACAGUGACUGACGCUGAGACGCGAAAGCGUGGGGAGCAAACAGG
rnacentral:rRNA from 1 species